rnacentral:lncRNA from 1 species
AUGAGCAGAGCAAGGAAUCAGAAAGGCAUCUUCCCAAAUGAGACAGGUCCUAGGAGGAGUCAAAGGUUGUGGUCCAGAGGAGAAGGAGCUCGUGGGCAGCAGGUUCUCCUCAGGCUGAGAGGAAGCUUCUUCCCUUUAAUACUUCUCAGUUGGAUAGCUGGACACAAAUGCCUCACUACCCUGGAAAUGGACCCAAAGGAAUCAGAAACAAAGGACGCUGAUGCUGCUUUUCAUCCUUCUGCCCAAGGAGAAUAA